UACAGAGGGGGCAAGCGUUGUUCGGAAUUAUUGGGCGUAAAGGGCGCGUAGGCGGCCUUCUAAGUCGAACGUGAAAUCCCCGGGCUCAACCCGGGAACUGCGUCCGAUACUGGAAGGCUUGAAUCCGGUAGAGGGAUGCGGAAUUCCAGGUGUAGCGGUGAAAUGCGUAGAUAUCUGGAGGAACACCGGUGGCGAAGGCGGCACCCUGGACCGGCAUUGACGCUGAGGCGCGAAAGCGAGGGGAGCAAACGGG
rnacentral:rRNA from 1 species